UAUAAAUCUCAAUUUAGAACACCUCAACCAAUUUAACUGUUUUAAUUUCAGGUUCACGUUUUCCAAAAUGCCUAAACUUCCACAGUUUGAGUUUGACUUCAUAAAUGCAAAUGACCCUGUUAGAAAGUGUUAGGCUGAAUGCAAGUAAAAAUUUGAUGGAAUCAUUAAGUCUCCUUCCAUCUCAUGCCUAAAUACAGCCUAGAAUAAGCAUUACUGCCAAGGGAACUUCUGGAUGGGCAAUAAAGUUCAUCAUUGGGAUUGCUUGAUAAUUAAUCAAUAAAAAUAAGAGACUCGUGACUUGAGAGCA
rnacentral:lncRNA from 1 species